UUUCAUAGCUAAGUCAGUAAAGAAUCUGCUUGCAAAGCAGGAGACCCAGGUUCUAUUCCUGGGUUGGAAA
rnacentral:tRNA from 1 species